ACGAACGUUGGCGGCGUGGAUUAGGCAUGCAAGUCGAACGAAGACAGUCUUGUAGCAAUACAGGGCUGGACUGAGUGGCGAAAGGGGCAGUAAUGCGUGGGUAACCUACCCUCUGGACCGGGAUAGCCAAGGGAAACUUUGGGUAAUACCGGGAGAAGUAAUCGAGUCGCAUGGCUUGAUUACCAAACGGUCCUCCGCCGGGGGAGGGGCUCACGUGGUAUUAGCUAGUUGGUGGGGUAACGGCCUACCAAGGCGAAGAUGCCUAGCAGGUGUGAGAGCACGACCUGCGCCACUGGCACUGAGACACUGGCCAGACUCCUACGGGAGGCUGCAGUCGAGAAUCUUCCGCAAUGGGCGCAAGCCUGACGGAGCGACGCCGCGUGUGCGAUGAAGGCCUUCGGGUUGUAAAGCACUGUCGAGGGGGAGGAAAGCCGAAAGGUCUGACCUAUCCCUGGAGGAAGCACGGGCUAAGUUCGU
rnacentral:rRNA from 1 species